CCCCUAGUAACUGCGAGUGAAGCGGGAAAAGCUCAAAUUUAAAAUCUGGUGGUCUUUGGCCAUCCGAGUUGUAAUUUAGAGAAGCGUCUUCCGCGCUGGACCGUGCACAAGUCUCCUGGAAUGGAGCGUCACAGAGGGUGAGAAUCCCGUCUUUGGCACGGACACACCAGGGCUUUUGUGAUGCGCUCUCGAAGAGUCGAGUUGUUUGGGAAUGCAGCUCAAAAUGGGUGGUGAACUCCAUCUAAAGCUAAAUAUUGGCGAGAGACCGAUAGCGAACAAGUACCGUGAGGGAAAGAUGAAAAGCACUUUGGAAAGAGAGUGAAACAGUACGUGAAAUUGUUGAAAGGGAAACGCUUGAAGUCAGUCGCGUCGACCGAGACUCAGCCUUGCCUUGGCUCGGUGUACUUCUCGGCCGACGGGUCAGCAUCAAUUUUGCCCCUUGGAUAAUGGCGAGGGAAAUGUGACACCUUUAUGGUGUGUUAUAGUCUCUUGUCGCAUGCAAGGGUUGGGAUUGAGGAACUCAGCACGCGCCUUUGGGUGUCGGGGUUUUGCCCACGAUACGUGCUUAGGAUGUUGGCGUAAUGGCUUUAAACGACCCGUCUUGAAACACGGACCAAGGAGUCUAACAUGCCUGCGAGUGUUCGGGUGGAAAACCCGUGCGCGCAAUGAAAGUGAAAGUCGGGACCUCUGUCGUGGAGGGCACCGACGCCCGGACCAGACCUUCUGUGACGGCUCUGCGGUAGAGCAUGUAUGUUAGGACCCGAAAGAUGGUGAACUAUGCCUGAAUAGGGUGAAGCCAGAGGAAACUCUGGUGGAGGCUCGUAGCGAUUCUGACGUGCAAAUCGAUCGUCAAAUUUGGGUAUAGGG
rnacentral:rRNA from 1 species